UUCCUAUAGAAAAAUAUUAUAGGUAGGCCCUGCCCUAUGUAUUAAUAAAUGGCCGCAGUACCCUAACUGUGCUAAGGUAGCAUAAUCAUUUGUCUUUUAAUUAAAGACUGGAAUGAAUGGGUUAACACAAUAAUCACUGUAUCUACUAGACCAAUAAAAACUUUACUUUUGGUGAAAAUACCAAAAUACUCAUAAAGGACAAGAAGACCCUGUAGAGCUUUAGUUAUUAACUUUAAUUGGGGCGAUUAUGGAUACAUACAAAACUUCCAUCACUAACAAGAUUCACAAAUCAAUCUCUGACCCUCCAGGUUCAAAGAAUAAGCUACCUCAGGGUUAACAGGCUUAAAUUCUUUAAGAGUCCAUAUUGACAAGAUUUUUUGGCACCUCGAUGUUGGCUUAACAAUCUAGUUUCUGCAACAGGAAACCCAGAAGGUUUGUUCACCCUUUAAUGCGUUACGUGAUCUGAUUUC
rnacentral:rRNA from 1 species